rnacentral:rRNA from 1 species
UACGUAGGGACCAAGCGUUGUUCGGAUUUACUGGGCGUAAAGGGCGCGUAGGCGGCUUGACAAGUCACUUGUGAAAUCUCCGGGCUUAACUCGGAACGGCCAAGUGAAACUGUCAUGCUAGAGUGCAGAAGGGGCAAUCGGAAUUCUUGGUGUAGCGGUGAAAUGCGUAGAUAUCAAGAGGAACACCUGAGGUGAAGACGGGUUGCUGGGCUGACACUGACGCUGAGGCGCGAAAGCCAGGGGAG